UCCGUUCUCUUUCUUUCGAUAAAUACUCCGAACUUUGACACAAUUUUGGGAAAUGUCAUUACAUCAAAUGCAUUUAGGCAUAUCUAAAGUAAUUGCGCAAGAUAAAAUUGAGGAAAUGUCUUGACCUGAGAAUAAUAGAACGCACGUCCUACUUUGAAAAGGUUCUCCGUCUUAUUACAUUCUUCGAAUUCUCUCCGUCCGUCCGUCGUAUUCUUAUUCUCGCAAGCAACCGUAAAAGAGAUCGUAAGAGCAAGAUUCUCCAGUUCUUCCUCUCGAAGUAAAAAAAAAAAAAAAAAAAA